rnacentral:rRNA from 1 species
UACAGAGGGUGCGAGCGUUAAUCGGAAUUACUGGGCGUAAAGCGCGCGUAGGUGGAUUUUUAAGUUGGAUGUGAAAUACCCGGGCUCAACCUGGGGGCGUCAUUCAAGACUGGGAGUCUAGAGUACAGUAGAGGGAAGUGGAAUUUCCGGUGUAGCGGUGAAAUGCGUAGAUAUCGGAAGGAACAUCAGUGGCGAAGGCGGCUUCCUGGACUGAUACUGACACUGAGGUGCGAAAGCGUGGGGAGCAAACAGG